rnacentral:rRNA from 1 species
AUACGGAGGACGCGAGCGUUAUCCGGAUUCAUUGGGUUUAAAGGGUGCGCAGGCGGCCGUGCAAGUCAGCGGUGAAAGCCCGGGGCUCAACCCCGGAAGUGCCGUUGAUACUGCGUGGCUGGAAUGCGGUCGAGGCGGGCGGGACGGGGCGUGGAGCGGUGAAAAGCGUAGAUAUGCCACAGAACGCCGAUAGCGGAGGCAGCUCGCCAGGCCUGCAUGGACGCUCGGGCACGAAAGCGUGGGGAUCGAACAGGAUUAGAUACCCUGGUAGUCCACGCCGUAAACGAUGGGCGCUCGUCGUCGGCGGCAGACAGUCGGCGGCCAAGCGAAAGCGAUAAGCGCCCCACCUGGGGAGUACGGUCGCAAGGCUGAAACUCAAAUGAAUUGACGGGG